UGAACAUUCAGUUUGGGAAAGACUUGGUAGAAGUGUAAGAGACUUUGUGGAAGUUCGGGUUAUUGUUUAACCCAGCUUGUGUGGUAUCUGUUGAGACCAACAACGGGAUGAGCAGCGAGGGGCAAUGUUAGAGUUUGACCAGGUGAUUGGGCUGCGGAAUUAUGUGAAGAAGGGACGAGGAAACUGACGUUGAUGUUAAUUCAUGGAAGUUGGGUACAGCUGAAGUGGAAAUUGAAGUUCCACAUGUGGGCUACUUAUUAGCCAUGAUUGUUGUGGUGGUGAAUAACAAGUGUAUUGUUAUCGUGCAGCAUCUCGGUGAAUAACAAGUGUAUUGUUAUUGUGCAGCAGAAACAUAUUGUGUAAAUAUGGCUGUAGUAUUUAGAGCUGAUUUGAAAUGGAGGGUGCUAACUAAUGUUAGUACAUAAUUUAGUUAGAACAAAAUAUGUAUAUAAAAGUUGAUCACGAGGAAGUGAAUCAUAAGGAUUGUGGUAUGAACUGAAACAUUUUAUAUUGAACUGUGUGGUUUUAGUAUAUUAUUUUGUGUGUUGUGAUACGUGAUAUUUUUAUAUGAAAUUAUGUGUAAAGUGGUGAUAAUGUAUGUUUAUUAUAUAUGAGAAGUGUGAGUGUUGAGGGAGUGCUGGUGAUUAGUGGUAUGUGAGAGGGAUAUAAUUAGGGUUAGUAAGUAGGAGUGGAGAAUGAAUGUGAUUGUUAUUUGUGUGCUGUAAAUAAAUGUAAUAUAAUUUA